UGGGGAAUAUUGGACAAUGGGCGCAAGCCUGAUCCAGCCAUGCCGCGUGAGUGAUGAAGGCCUUAGGGUUGUAAAGCUCUUUCGCCGACGAAGAUAAUGACGGUAGUCGGAGAAGAAGCCCCGGCUAACUUCGUGCCAGCAGCCGCGGUAAUACGAAGGGGGCUAGCGUUGUUCGGAAUCACUGGGCGUAAAGCGCACGUAGGCGGAUUGUUAAGUCAGGGGUGAAAGCCUGGAGCUCAACUCCAGAACUGCCCUUGAUACUGGCAAUCUCGAGUCCGGAAGAGGUAAGUGGAACUGCGAGUGUAGAGGUGAAAUUCGUAGAUAUUCGCAAGAACACCAGUGGCGAAGGCGGCUUACUGGUCCGGUACUGACGCUGAGGUGCGAAAAGCGUGGGGAGCAAAACAGGAUUAGAUACCCUGGUAGUCCACGCCGUAAACGAUGGAGGCUAGCCGUUGGCGAGCAUGCUCGUCAGUGGCGCAGCUAACGCAUUAAGCCUCCCGCCUGGGGAGUACGGUCGCAAGAUUAAAACUUAAAUGAAUUGACGGGGUCAUAGCUGUUUCCU
rnacentral:rRNA from 1 species